AUUGAACGCUGGCGGCGUGCUUUACACAUGCAAGUCGGAGGCAGUGGCGAACGGGUGAGUAACGCGUAGGUAACUGCCUGGUAGCGGGGGAUAACUAUUGGAAACGAUAGCUAAUACCGCAUACUACCAGAUGGACCUGCGUUGUAUUAGCUAGUUGGUGGGGUAACGGCUCACCAAGGCAACGAUACAUAGCCGACCUGAGAGGGUGAUCGGCCACACUGGGACUGAGACACGGCCCAGACUCCUACGGGAGGCAGCAGUAGGGAAUCUUCGGCAAUGGACGGAAGUCUGACCGAGCAACGCCGCGUGAGUGAAGAAGGUUUUCGGAUCGUAAAGCUCUGUUGUAAGAGAAGCGGUAUCUUACCAGAAAGGGACGGCUAACUACGUGCCAGCAGCCGCGGUAAUAC
rnacentral:rRNA from 1 species